CCUUUCCCUUCAUUCAGACUGUGGAACAUGGCUUCCCCAACCAGCCCAGCGCCCUCGCCUUCGACCCCGAGCUUCGCAUCAUGGCCAUUGGCACCAGGUCUGGGGCUGUCAAGAUCUAUGGUGCACCCGGCGUGGAGUUUACGGGCCUACACCGUGAUGCGGCCACUGUCACCCAGAUGCACUUCCUGCCCGGCCAGGGCCGCCUCCUGACCCUGCUGGACAACAGCAGCCUGCAUCUGUGGGAGAUUGUCCACCAUAAUGGCUGUGCCCACCUGGAGGAAGUUCUCGGCUUCCAGCUGCCCAGCCGGCCAGGCUUUGAUGGUGCCAGUACCCCUUCCAGCCUCACCCGUGUCACGGUGGUCCUGAUGGUGGCUGCGGGCGAUACUGCCGUCCUGGGCACUGAGGGCGGCAGUGUCUUCUUCCUGAACGUUACUACCUUGACGCUGCUCGAGGGGCAGACCCUCAGCCCAGACGAGGUUCUGCGAAGCGUGCCAGAUGAGUGCCGGUGCGGAAAGGCACUGGGCCCCGUGGAGUCGCUCCAAGGACACCUGCAGGAGCCCACCAAGAUCCUCGUUGGCUACAGCCGGGGUCUGCUGGUUAUCUGGAACCAGGCCACACAGUGUGUGGACCAUGUCUUCCUGGGUAACCAGCAGCUGGAGAGCCUGUGCUGGGGGCGUGGUGGAGGCACCAUUGUCAGUUCGCACAGUGAUGGCAGCUAUGCCAUCUGGUCCAUGGACGCUGGCAGCUCCCUGACGCUGCAGCCCACGGUAGCCACCACACCCUACGGCCCCUUUCCCUGCAAGGCCAUCAACAAGAUUCUGUGGCGGAACUGUGAAUCUGGGGGCCACUUUAUCAUCUUUAGUGGUGGCAUGCCCCGUGCCAGCUAUGGCGACCGCCACUGUGUGAGUGUGCUGCAGGCGGAGACACUGGUGACUCUGGACUUCACCUCCCGCAUCAUUGACUUCUUCACGGUGCACAGCACGCGGCCUGAAGAUGAAUUCGAUGACCCCCAGGCCCUGGCUGUGCUGCUGGAAGAGGAGCUGGUGGUGCUUGACCUGCAGACGCCUGGCUGGCCGGCCGUGCCUGCCCCGUACCUGGCCCCACUGCACUCGUCUGCUAUCACCUGCUCAGCCCAUGUUGCCAACGUCCCCGCCAAGCUGUGGGCCCGCAUUGUGAGCGCUGGAGAGCAGCAGAGCCCCCAGCCUGGCUCCAGCACCUCGAGCUGGCCCAUCACUGGGGGCCGGAACCUGGCACAGGAGCCAUCGCAGCGAGGGCUGCUGCUGACCGGCCACGAGGAUGGCACCGUACGGUUCUGGGAUGCCUCGGGUGUGGCACUGCGACCGCUCUAUAAGCUGAACACGGCUGGCCUCUUCCAGACAGACUGUGAGCACGCCGACAGCCUAGCCCAGGCUGCUGAGGACGACUGGCCACCCUUCCGCAAGGUGGGCUGCUUCGACCCCUACAGUGAUGAUCCCCGGCUCGGAGUGCAGAAGGUUGCCCUCUGCAAGUACACAGCCCAGAUGGUGGUGGCUGGCACUGCAGGCCAGGUGCUGGUGCUGGAGCUUAGCGACGUGCCGGAGGAGCAAGCGGUCAGCGUGGCCAGCGUGGACCUCCUCCAGGACCGCGAGGGCUUCACGUGGAAGGGCCACGAGCGGCUGAGCCCGCGCACAGGGCCACUGCUAUGGCCUGUUGGCUUCCAGCCCCGCGUGCUGGUGCAGUGCCUGCCACCAGCUGCUGUCACAGCUGUCACACUCCACACCGAGUGGAGCCUUGUGGCCUUUGGCACCAGUCAUGGUUUUGGCCUCUUUGACUACCAGCGGAAGAGCCCUGUGCUGGCCAGGUGCACCCUUCACCCCAAUGACUCCCUGGCCAUGGAGGGUCCGCUGUCCCGGGUGAAGUCACUCAAGAAGUCACUGCGCCAGUCUUUCCGGCGCAUCCGUAAGAGCCGUGUCUCAGGCAAGAAGCGGGCUGCUAAUGCCAACAGUAAGUUGCAGGAAGCCAAUGCACAGCUGGCGGAGCAGGCCUGUCCCCACGACGUGGAGAUGACGCCUGUGCAGCGCCGUAUUGAGCCCCGCUCUGCCGAUGACUCCCUCUCAGGUGUUGUGCGCUGCCUCUAUUUCGCAGACACCUUCCUUCGAGAUGCCCACCACGGGCCCACCAUGUGGGCAGGUACCAACUCGGGCUCCGUGUUUGCCUAUGCACUGGAGGUGCCGGCAGCAGCAGUUGGCGUUGAGAAGCGGCCCGAGCGGCCAGUGGAGGCCGUGCUGGGCAAGGAGGUGCAGCUGAUGCACCGGGCACCUGUGGUGGCCAUCGCCGUGCUGGACGGGCGUGGCCGGCCACUGCCUGAGCCCUACGAGGCCUCGCGGGACCUGGCGCAGGCGCCCGACAUGCAGGGCGGUCAUGCCGUGCUCAUCGCGUCUGAGGAGCAGUUCAAGGUGUUCACACUGCCCAAAGUGAGUGCCAAGACCAAGUUCAAGCUGACGGCCCACGAGGGCUGUCGUGUGCGCAAGGUGGCACUGGCCACAUUUGCCAGCGUGGCCUGUGAGGACUAUGCCGAGACCUGCCUGGCCUGCCUCACUAACCUGGGUGACGUCCAUGUCUUCUCCGUGCCUGGCCUGCGGCCCCAGGUGCACUACUCCUGUAUCCGGAAGGAGGACAUCAGCGGCAUCGCCUCGUGUGUCUUUACACGCCACGGCCAGGGCUUUUAUCUGAUUUCUCCGUCGGAAUUUGAACGCUUCUCUCUAAGUGCCCGGAACAUCACAGAGCCACUUUGCUCUCUGGACAUCAGCUGGCCCCGUGAUGCCACCCAGGCCAGCUACAGGCUCCAAGAGUCGCCCAAGCUGAGCCAGGCUAACGGGACCCCGAGCAUCAUCCUGGCCCCGCAGAGCCACGAUGGAAGCCCCGAUCCUGCCCACAGCAAGGGAGCUGACACCCCAGAGCCACCUGAGGCCAUACUCUCACCCACAUCUAUCGACUCGGCCACAAGUGCUGACACCACGCUGGACACAACAGGGGACGUCACGGUGGAGGAUGUGAAGGAUUUCCUGGGCUCUUCUGAGGAAUCUGAGAAGAAUCUGAGAAACCUUGCAGAAGACGAGGCCCGGGCCUGCACCAUCCUGAUCAAAUGAGGAAGGCCAGAACUCCCAACCACCACUUGUCCUGCUUGCAGCUGGGGUCCUGGAUCCCUGGCUCCUGCCUGGCCCCUUAACACAGACUGACACCUGCUAACCUGUGGGCUCCGGUGGGCCCUGCCGUCCUCUCCGUGCCAACCCUGGGCCCCGGAGUAGUGCACUUGGGGGCACUCAAGCACUUGGCCCAGGCAGCUUGAGUCCUCCAGGCAGUUAGCUACGCUGGGGGCUUGCUGCCCAGGGAAGGUGACAGGUGGGACUGGGUGGCCCAUGCCACCUCCCAUUCCACACACCAUCCUUUCCCCUCCCUUUGCAAAGAGUAUUUUUCUAAUGCUGGGGCUGGACAGUCAUUUCUAGAACUAUUUUGGUAUUUGCUCCUGGACCAGCUCCCCCCUACCCCCAGCCUGUGCAUGAGUGCACACAUGAGAGUGUGUGUAACUGGGAUCUCCACUGCACACCCGCAAUUGGGGCUCAGUCAGGUGUGUGUAUGGGGGGGGGGGGUUCAGGAUGGGUUUCCCUGUAGAUUGUACCUUGGGGUUCUUUUCUGUCAUUUUGUUAAAAUUAGCACUGUUUUAAUAUUAAAAUGCUGAUUUUUAAUAUUGAAAAUAA